rnacentral:rRNA from 1 species
GACGAACGCUGGCGGCAUGCCUAAUACAUGCAAGUCGAGCGGAGUUAUGAUGGAGCUUGCUCCUGAUUAACUUAGCGGCGGACGGGUGAGUAACACGUAGGCAACCUGCCCUCAAGACUGGGACAACAGAUAGAAAUGUCUGAUAAUACCGGAUAUUAUUGUUACAUGGCAUCAUGUAGGAGUGAGAGGAUAAGAUUGCUAGAGGAGAGCUUUGCAUCCUAUUAGCUAGUUGGUAAGGUAGCGGCUUACCAAGGCGAUGAUAGGUAGCCGGCCUGAGAGGGUGGACGGCCACAAGGGGACUGAGAUACGGCCCUU